rnacentral:rRNA from 1 species
UGCAUGGCCGUCGUCAGUUCGUACUGUGAAGCAUCCUGUCAAGUCAGGCAACGAGCGAGACCCACGCCCACAGUUGCCAGCGUACUCUCUGGAGUGACGGGUACACUGUGGGGGACCGCCGCUGCUAAAGCGGAGGAAGGAAUGGGCAACGGUAGGUCAGUAUGCCCCGAAUAUCCCGGGCUACACGCGAGCUACAAUGGUUGGUACAAUGGGUAUCUACCCCGAAAGGGGACGGGAAUCUCCUAAAACCAAUCUUAGUUCGGAUUGAGGGCUGCAACUCGCCCUCAUGAAGCUGGAAUCCGUAGUAAUCGCGUUCCAACAGAACGCGGUGAAUACGUCCCUGCUCCUU